CUUAUACCCCCUCCGUUCCGAAUUACUCGUCGCGAAAAUGGAUGUAUCUAGAUGUAUUUUAGUUCUAGAUACAUUCAUUUUUGCGACAAGUAAUUUGGAACGAAGGGAGUAUAAG
rfam:Triticum urartu cultivar G1812 contig904898, whole genome shotgun sequence.